rnacentral:rRNA from 1 species
AGUGAACGCUGGCGGUAGGCCUAACACAUGCAAGUCGAACGGCAGCACAGUAAGAGCUUGCUCUUACGGGUGGCGAGUGGCGGACGGGUGAGGAAUACAUCGGAAUCUACUUUUUCGUGGGGGAUAACGUAGGGAAACUUACGCUAAUACCGCAUACGACCUACGGGUGAAAGCAGGGGAUCUUCGGACCUUGCGCGAUUGAAUGAGCCGAUGUCGGAGUAGCUAGUUGGCGGGGUAAAGGCCCACCAAAGCGAGGAUCCGUAGAUGGUCCGAGUGGAGGAUCAGAUACACAGGAACUGAGACACGAAGCAGACGCCGACGGGAGGCAGCAGUGGGGAAUAUUGGACACUGGGUGCAAGGCUGAUCCAGCCAUACCGCGUGGGUGAAGUCGGCCUUCGGGUUGUAAAGGUCUGUUGUUGGGUAAGAAUAGCUGCAGGUUAAUCCCACGCUGUUCUGACGGUACCCAAAGAAAAAGCACCGGCUAACUAGGU